rnacentral:pre_miRNA from 1 species
GGAAACCUGAAAACUAUCGGUAAAUCAAAAAGUGGAUAUCUGGGAUUUGUCCACGUCAUCACAAGUAAAAGUUUUACUCGUAGAUUUACUCAUGAGUAAAAAUUUUACUAUUUACUCAUGGUGACGUGGAUGAAUCUCAUACGUCCAUUUUUUAUCCAACGGUAGUUUAUAGAUUUCC